UACGUAGGGAGCAAGCGUUGUCCGGAUUCACUGGGUGUAAAGGGUGCGCAGGCGGAUUGGCAAGUCAGAGGUGAAAUCUCACGGCUCAAUCGUGAAACUGCCUUUGAUACUGCUGAUCUUGAGUUAGGGAGAGGUUGAUGGAAUUCUAGGUGUAGCGGUGAAAUGCGUAGAUAUCUAGAAGAACACCAGUGGCGAAGGCGGUCAACUGGCCCUAAACUGACGCUCAGGCACGAAAGCGUGGGGAUCAAACAGG
rnacentral:rRNA from 1 species